UAAAGCUCAGUAACACGUAGUCAACAUGCCCAGGGGACGUGGAUAACCUCGGGAAACUGAGGAUAAACCACGAUAGGUCAUAAUGUCUGGAAUGAUUUAUGGCUAAAAUCUACAUGGCCCCUGGAUUGGACUGCGGCCGAUCAGGCUGUUGGUGAGGGAAUGGCCCACCAAACCUAAAACCGGUACGGGCUCUGAGAGGAGAAGCCCGGAGAUGGGCACUGAGACAAGGGCCCAGGCCCUAUGGGGCGUAGCAGGCGCGAAAACUCUGCAAUAAGCGAAAGCUUGACAGGGUUAUUCUGAGUGAUUUCCGCUAAGGAAAUCUUUUGGCACCUCUAAAAAUGGUGCAGAAUAAGGGGUGGGCAAGCCUGGUGUCAGCCGCCGCGGUAAUACCAGCACCCCGAGUGGUCGGGACGAUUAUUGGGCCUAAAGCAUCCGUAGCCGGUUCUACAAGUCUUCCGUUAAAUCCAUCUGCUUAACAGAUGGGCUGCGGAGGAUACUAUGGAGCUAGGAGGCGGGAGAGGCAAGCGGUACUUAGUGGGUAGGGGUAAAAUCCGUUGAUCCACUGAAGACCACCAGUGGCGAAGGCGGCUUGCCAGAACGCGCUCGACGGUGAGGGAUGAAAGCUGGGGGAGCAAACCGGAUUAGAUACCCGGGUAGUCCCAGCUGUAAACGAUGCAGACUCGGUGAUGAAAAGGCUUCGUGCCUUUUCAGUGCCGCAGGAAAGCCGUUAAGUCUGCCGCCUGGGGAGUACGGUCGCAAGACUGAAACUUAAAGGAAUUGGCGGGGGAGCACCACAAGGGGUGAAGCCUGCGGUUCAAUUGGAGUCAACGCCGGGAAUCUUACCCGGGGGGCGACAGCAGAUGAAGGUCAAGCUGAGGACUUUACCAGACAGCUGAAGGAGGUGCAUGGUCGUCGCAGCUCGUGCCGUGAGUGUCCUGUAGUCAGUACGAGCGAGAUCCCUACUCUAGUGCUACAUGCUCUCAGAUAUGGGGCUAAUUAGAGGACUGCCGUCGC
rnacentral:rRNA from 1 species